AUUGAACGCUGGCGGCAGGCCUAACACAUGCAAGUCGAGCGAGCGGCGGACGGGUGAGUAAUGUAUGGGGAUCUGCCCGAUAGCGGGGGAUAACUACUCGAAAGAGUGGCUAAUACCGCAUACUAUUGGAGCGGCCGAUAUCGGAUUAGCUAGUUGGUGGGGUAAAGGCUCACCUAGGCGACGAUCCCUAGCUGGUCUGAGAGGAUGACCAGCCACACUGGAACUGAGACACGGUCCAGACUCCUACGGGAGGCAGCAGUGGGGAAUAUUGCACAAUGGGCGCAAGCCUGAUGCAGCCAUGCCGCGUGUAUGAAGAAGGCCUUCGGGUUGUAAAGUACUUUCAGCGGGGAGGCGUUACCCGCAGAAGAAGCACCGGCUAACUCCGUGCCAGCAGCCGCGGUAAUAC
rnacentral:rRNA from 1 species